CAAUGGGCGAAAGCCUGAUCCAGCAAUGCCGCGUGCAGGAAGAAGGCCUUCGGGUUGUAAACUGCUUUUGUACGGAACGAAAAGGUCUGCCCUAAUACGGCGGGCCCAUGACGGUACCGUAAGAAUAAGCACCGGCUAACUACGUGCCAGCAGCCGCGGUAAUACGA
rnacentral:rRNA from 1 species